AGUGAACGCUGGCGGUAGGCCUAACACAUGCAAGUCGAACGGCAGCACAGUAAGAGCUUGCUCUUACGGGUGGCGAGUGGCGGACGGGUGAGGAAUACAUCGGAAUCUACUUUUUCGUGGGGGAUAAAGUAGGGAAACUUACGCUAAUACCGCAUACGACCUACGGGUGGAAGCAGGGGAUCUUCGGUCCUUGCGCGAUUGAAUGAGCCGAUGUCGGAUUAGUUAGUUGGCGGGGUAAGGGCCCACCAAGGGGACGAACCGUAGCUGGUCUGGGAGGAUGUUCGGCCCCGCUUGGACUGGAACACCGGCCAGACUCCGACGGGAAGGCGCAGUGGGCAACAAUGGGCAACAGGCGCAAGCCUGAUCCAGCCAUACCGCGUGGGUGAAGAAGGCCUUCGGGUUGUAAAGCCCUUUUGUUGGGAAAGAAAAGCAGCAGGUUAAUACCCCGCUGUUCUGACGGUACCCAAAGAAUAAGCACCGGCUAACUUCGUG
rnacentral:rRNA from 1 species